UCUCUCGCAGCUACAAAUGAAGUAGAUGAUGGAUGCAAAGAAAAAAGUCUGUUGAAAGUUUCACAACAAUUGCACGAAGAGUUUUUUCAGCGAUGUGUGUGUCGUUGUUUCCUUUUCUUCUUUCUUUCGUUGCUUCUUUGCUGUCGUGUAUUUUUCCUCCAA
rnacentral:ribozyme from 14 species